rnacentral:lncRNA from 10 species
UCACCGCAACCUCUGCCUCCUGGGUUCAAGUGAUCCUCCUGCCUCAGUCUCCUGAGUAGCUAAGACUACAGGUGCACACCACCAUGCCCGGCUAAUUUUGUAUUUUUAGUAGAGAUGGGGUUUCACCAUGUUGGGUCAGGCUGGUCUCGAACUCCCGGCCUCAGGUGAUCCACCCACCUCGGUCUCCCAAAGUGCUGGGAUUAUAGGGGUGAGCCACUGCACCCAGCCAACUAAAUUUCCUAAUGAAACCAGUAGUCUU